CACAGAUGGUGGUGGCUGGGCCUCUCACCUGCUCCUCAUAUUCUCUGUUGUUGUUUUUUUCUUACGUAUAUCUUCAGUUAUUGUGUGUGUGUGUGUGUGUGUGGCGCAUUACAGCCGGUGAGGGGCAUGCCCCCCCCCCGUUACCCGCUGCGGCCUAGUCACCAUCUGUCACCAGUAGCACUCAAUUUGUUUGUAGAGGCGCAUUUGGUUAUUCCUACAGCUGAUGGAAAUUUAAUUGUUUUGUAUGAACACUAUAUUUUAAGUAAAUGUUGAAAUCAGGGGAAUUUUAUUGCCUCACUCUGACUUCAGUGAUCUGUAGAUCCGUUGUUAAAUUAUUUAUGAGGCACUACUUAACCCUGUGCUACCAGUGGUUCCCAAUGUCUUUCUUUCAGUUGCUCAACUUCUCGUGAUUUGAUCUACACACUAUGCAUCAGCUAAUGCAUUCUAAUACAACCGCCCGACAACUCUCUCCCUCAUUCUCUUCUAUCAGCGAAGUAGACAGCCCAAAUAAAAAUUGACCAAUGGUACCCCCUAGAGGGGAUUUACUCUCAUGAUGAACAUUACUAAUUGCUUGUGAUCUCUUCUCAGACUGCUAUGGCUGGUUCCACACCUGCAGAAUCCAGAUUAACAUUGAAAAACUAACACUUCCAAAUGCUUGCCAGAGUCUCUAGAUAUCUUCACUGCAAGAUGAAGACAACCUUUAGGUUAAAGGGCAACCUCUGACUUCAAUACAUGGAUUAAGAUUUUGCCAAUUACUUAUUUAAUCUAAAUUCUACCACUGAAUUUCAGGGACAAGUAGGAGGCCAAACAGUUGGUUCAAUAUGCGAUGGGCAAGAAACCUGGUGGAGACCGUAGUGCCAUGAAUACAAAAAAGUCUUGUAGGACACAACUGCAAUUGCUGAUUAUGGGCGGUCGACCUAAACUGACAGACCUGUCCAGGUCAAAGGAGGCUCAUGGAUCUUGGGGAGAAGAUGGGCGAGGCCUGAGCUCUUAAUCAAGGACUGUCCAGAGAAAACAGGCUCCUGCCUUGAUCGCCAGAAGUGGUCAAGCAGUUUCAGCCUCUUGUGAGAGUGGAAAUUACCAGCAGUCUUGAGUGAUUUGAGUGAACGUGUCUCUCUGUUACAAACCCGAUCUUUCCUUUAAUGGAAUCGGGUUGAGUGUUGCUGCUGGCUCUGUGUAGCUGUACGAUCGGCACUGCAGGUGUAUUGGUGCGAAGCUCCCUGACGGGGUUGUAAAAUUGCUUCACGUGCGCUGGUAUCUGCACCAGCCCCUCCCUUCCCUGCCACGGUGCUGUUUUGUCGCCGCUGACUUUGGGUUUAAACUACGUUCAACGGGUUGCAGCUACACAACUGUAAAUUCCUCCAGGCGUUGAGCGCCUCACAGCGCCCGGAUCUGUUGCUUAAAGUGACAGGGCUGUCUGAUUGCAACCCGGUUGAUAGUUUGCCUUUUUUUGGUUUGCCCGUGCUUGCUACUAUGUGUAUGGAGAUUGGGGUUUAUUUGUUAAAUUAUGAUUUUAAGUGAUGUUGGUUUAUAUUUCUAAGUUUCGAUAAGAAGACUAAUUUUGGUUGGAAUUCUAUUAUCUGUUAAUUUUGGUUAUUUUAGUUGGUAGGCUCUAGUGGUGCCGAAGGUGGUGGUGUGUCUCUCUCCAGUGUGCUGUGUUUUCCCCGUUUGGUUUAAUUUGAGUCGUUUGCUGCAGUGUGAUUGGGGUGAUCCUUCUCUGAGACCCCAUUGACCCUGUCCCUCCACCGGUAAGACCUCAGCACUUACUUUCCCUAUUUAGUAGGUCUGGUAUUUUAAAUGGUAUUUUAUAUUUGUUUUAGUAAUUGUAUUAAAUAAAAUCAUUGUUGUAACGGAACUACGUCUCUGGCUUCAUGCAUGAAUCAAAUCUGUGUGCUUUAGUAAAAUACUAUUCUCGGGGUGAAAUUCCCCGGGUGGCGUUGCCAGUGUCAUCAGUGUUGAGCGGGCCAAAAAGGCACUCCACACCAAAAGAGUUCCACUCGCCACAUAAUGCUUGUCAUGCAGGCUGUGUGACAGGUCUAAUAACAUGUUCUGUUUUUCCUAACUGUCAAGAGCCUGACUGGUGCAUAAUGUAUUAAAUGAAUCUGCUUCUAAUAUGUUGUAUGUCCUGAAAUAUGCCGCCCUCUUUAGCUGCUUCAUUUAAUAUUUGCAAUUUCCCUGUAUGUGCAAAAAGCUGCCAUCAUUGUUCGGGAAAAAUUCCGGUUGCGUUAGGUAAAGUAGUUUUAGAAGUGGCCCAGCAACUUCAGUAUGCUGUGAAAAUUGCCAGCUGACUUAUGGAUUUGAGUGAGAGGUAAGACCUUUUCUCCAGUACUGAUUUUGUUAUGUCAUGCAGGCUGUGUGACGGGUCUAAUACUGUUUAGAAGGCCUGACUGUUUUGCUUAUGCAUCUGCUUAUAAAUAUGUACUGAACUACGUGUGUGUGUGU
ensembl:lncRNA